GAUGAAGAACGUAGCAAAAUGCGAUACUUGGUGUGAAUUGCAGAAUCCCGUGAACCAUCGAGUUUUUGAACGCAAGUUGCGCCCGAAGCCUUUUGGCCGAGGGCACGUCUGCCUGGGCGUCACGCAUCGCGUCGCCCCCCACAAUUCUCCGUAAAGGGAACAUGUGUUUUGGGGGCGGAUAUUGGUCUCCCGUGCUCAUGGCGUGGUUGGCCGAAAUAGGAGUCCUUUCGAUGGACGCACGAACUAGUGGUGGUCGUAAAAACCCUCGUCUUUUGUUUCGUGCUGUUGCUCGCAAGGUAAACUCUUUAAAAACCCCAAUGUGUCGUCUCUUGACGACGCUUCGACCGCGACCCCAGGUCAGGCGGGACUACCCGCUGAGUUUAAGCAUAUCAAUAAGCGGGGA
rnacentral:misc_RNA from 1 species